UGGGGAAUUUUGGACAAUGGGCGAAAGCCUGAUCCAGCAAUGCCGCGUGUGUGAAGAAGGCCUUCGGGUUGUAAAGCACUUUUGUCCGGAAAGAAAUCCUUGGCUCUAAUACAGUCGGGGGAUGACGGUACCGGAAGAAUAAGCACCGGCUAACUACGUGCCAGCAGCCGCGGUAAUACGUAGGGUGCAAGCGUUAAUCGGAAUUACUGGGCGUAAAGCGUGCGCAGGCGGUUUGCUAAGACCGAUGUGAAAUCCCCGGGCUCAACCUGGGAACUGCAUUGGUGACUGGCAGGCUAGAGUAUGGCAGAGGGGGGUAGAAUUCCACGUGUAGCAGUGAAAUGCGUAGAGAUGUGGAGGAAUACCGAUGGCGAAGGCAGCCCCUGGGCCAAUACUGACGCUCAUGCACGAAAGCGUGGGGAGCAAACAGGAUUAGAUACCCUGGUAGUCCACGCCCUAAACGAUGUCAACUAGUUGUUGGGAUUCAUUUCCUUAGUAACGUAGCUAACGCGUGAAGUUGACCGCCUGGGGAGUACGGUCGCAAGAUUAAAACUUAAAUGAAUUGACGGGGUCAUAGCUGUUUCCU
rnacentral:rRNA from 1 species